rnacentral:rRNA from 1 species
AAGGUCAAGGUACUAAGGGCAUGCGGUGGAUGCCUUGGCGAUGGAAGGCGAUGAAGGGCGUGGUAAGCUGCGAUAAGCCUCGGGGAGCCGCAAACAGGCUUUGAUCCGGGGAUUCCCGAAUGGGGAAACCUGAUUGGUCGUAAGACCAGUCGCCGAAAGGUGCGAACCGGGGGAAGUGAAACAUCUCAGUACCCCGAGGAAAAGAAAUCAAACGAGAUUCCCUGAGUAGAGGCGAUCGAAAGGGGAAAAGCCUAAACCAGUGCGAUGUUCAAGCCCGUAGGCGUUGUUGCACUGGGGUUGUGGGACACAGUUGGGCGAGGCUACGGACUCGCCGGGGAGUUACAAAUCUUCUCCUUAGCUGAACCAUCUGGGAAGAUGGGCCGGAGAGGGUGACAGCCCCGUAAGCGAAAGGGAGAAGACUCCUUGAACUGUGUUCCCAAGUACCGCGGGACCCGGGAAAUCCUGCGGGAAUCUGGGGGGACCACCCUCCAAGGCUAAAUACUCUCCAUCGUCCGAUAGUGCACGAGUACCGUGAGGGAAAGGUGAAAAGAACCCCGGGAGGGGAGUGAAAUAGAACCUGAAACCGCAUGCCUACAAUAAGUCGGAGCCCGCAAGGGUGACGGCGUGCCUUUUGAUUAAUGAGUCCGCGAGUUGUCGUCAGUGGCAAGGUUAAGCCGGUAGAGGCGGAGCCGUAGCGAAAGCGAGUCCGAAUAGGGCGCAAGUCACUGGUGGCAGACCCGAAGCCGGGUGAGCUACCCCUGGGCAGGAUGAAGGUGGGCUAAACCCCACUGGAGGUCCGAACCGAUGGAUAGUGAAAAAUCCUCGGAUGACCUGGGGGUAGGAGUGAAAAGCUAACCGAACCCGGUGAUAGCUGGUUCUCCCCGAAACGCAUUGAGGUGCGGCCUCGAGUGGUCUGUGCAGGGGGUAGAGCACUGAUAGGGCUAGGGGGGUAACCUCCGAACCCUGUCAAACUCCGAAUCCCUGUACAUAAAACUCGGGAGGAAGUCUGUGGGGGAUAAGCUCCAUGGACAAAAGGGAAACAGCCCAGACCAUCGGCUAAGGGCCCAGAGAGAUGGCUAAGUGGGAAAGGAUGUGGUGCACCCCAGACAACUGGGAGGUUGGCUUAGAAGCAGCCAUCCUUUAAAGAGUGCGUAACAGCUCACCAGUCGAGGUGCACUGCGCCGAAGAUGUAACGGGGCUCAAGCCAUCCCCCGAAGCCAUGGGUCUGUACACUAUGUACAGGCGGUAGGGGAGCUUUCCGCUGUAGGGUGAAGGUAGACCCGUGAGGGCUACUGGACGAGGCGGAAGUGAGAAUGCGGACAUGAGUAUGCGAGAGGAGAGUGAGAAUCUCUCCCCCCGAAUGCCCAAGGGUACCUGGGGAAGGGUCGUCCUCCCAGGGUUAGUCGGUACCCUAAGGUGAACCCGAAAGGGAUAGCCGAAGGGAAGCUGGUUAAUAUUCCAGCACCACCUGUAAUCGAGGUGCGAGGGGUGACGCAGAAGGGUAAGCGCCGAGGGCAAGUGGCAUUCCCUUCCAAGCGGUUAGGGCGUUGAUGGGUGUAGGUAAAUCCGCACCUGGAGUCUGAGCCGUGAUGGGAAGGACCCGUGAGGGUCCAACGGCGUUGACCCCACGCUGCCAAGAAAAGCCUCGCGUACCGUUCGAGGUUGCAGGUGACCGUUCCGCAAACCGACACAGGUGGGCGAGCUGAGAAAGCUAAGGGGAGCGGGAUAACCCUCGCCAAGGAACUCGGCAAAUUAACCCCGUAACUUCGGGAGAAGGGGUGCAAAAUGGGAUAGCCUCAAUUGAGGUGAAUGAAGUAUUAACGAACGGUCCUAAGGUAGCGAAAUACCUUGCCAGGUAAGUUCUGGCCUGCAUGAAUGGCGUAACGACUGGGGCACUGUCUCGGCGAGGGACCCGGUGAAAUUUCAGUGUGGGUGAAGAUGCCCACAACCUGCGGCUAGACGGAAAGACCCCGUGGAGCUUUACUGCAACCUGGUAUUGGAUUCUGACACAUCGUGUACAGGAUAGGUGGGAGGCUGUGAACCCGGCUCGUCAGGGUCGGGGGAGCCGUCGGUGGGAUACCACCCUCGGUGUGUCGGAAUUCUAACCUGAACCUGUGAAGAGCAGGUUGGGAACAGUGCCAGGUGGGCAGUUUGACUGGGGCGGUCGCCUCCUAAAAUGUAACGGAGGCGCGCGAAGGUCGGCUCAGGUGGGUUGGAAAUCCACCGAAGAGUGUAAGGGCAUAAGCCGGCCUGACUGUGAGACCGACAGGUCGAGCAGAGACGAAAGUCGGCCCUAGUGACCCGGCGACUCCGAGUGGAAGGGUCGUCGACAACGGACAAAAGUUACCCCGGGGAUAACAGGCUAGUCUCGCCCGAGAGUUCACAUCGACGGCGAGGAUCGGCACCUCGAUGUCGGCUCAUCCCAUCCUGGGGCUGAAGCAGGUCCCAAGGGUUAGGCUGUCCGCCUAUUAAAGGGGUACGUGAGCUGGGUUCAGACCGUCGUAAGACAGGUCGGUCCCUAUCGGCCGCGGGCGCAGGAGGUUUGAGGGAGGUCUCCCCUUGUACGAGAGGACCGGGGAGAGUGGGCCUCUGGUGUACCGGCUGUCCUGCCAGGGGCAUACGCCGGGUAGCUAUGCCCAUAAGCGAUAACCGCUGAAGGCAUCUAAGCGGGAAGCGCGUCCCAAGAUUAGACCUCCCAUCCCUUAAGGGAGUAAGGCCGGUCCGAGAAUAGGACCUUGAUAGGCCGGUGGUGUAAGCAUCGUAAGGUGUUGAGCCAACCGGUACUAAUAGGCCGAGGCCUUGACCUU